ACAUCUGCAACCGCACAUUUCGGGGUAAUAAGUCUUUUACGGAGCACCUCGAUUGGCGAGUCUAAGUAAAU
rnacentral:sRNA from 3 species